UACGUAGGGUGCAAGCGUUGUCCGGAAUUAUUGGGCGUAAAGAGCUCGUAGGCGGUUCGUCGCGUCGGCUGUGAAAUCCCGAGGCUCAACCUCGGGUCUGCAGUCGAUACGGGCGGACUGGAGUUCGGCAGGGGAGGACUGGAAUUCCUGGUGUAGCGGUGAAAUGCGCAGAUAUCAGGAGGAACACCGGUGGCGAAGGCGGGUCUCUGGGCCGAUACUGACGCUGAGGAGCGAAAGCGUGGGGAGCGAACAGG
rnacentral:rRNA from 1 species